UACGUAGGGUGCUAGCGUUGUCCGGAUUUAUUGGGCGUAAAGGGCUCGUAGGCGGCGUGUCGCGUCGGGGAGUGAAAGCCCCGCUGCUUAACGGCGGGUUGGCUUCCGGUACGGGCAUCGCUGGAGUGCGGCAGGGGAGACUGGAAUUCCUGGUGUAGCGGUGGAAUGCGCCAGAUAUCAGGAGGAACACCGGUGGCGAAAAGCGGGGUCUCUGGGCCGUUACUGACGCUGUGGCGCGAAAGCUAGGGGAGCAAACGGG
rnacentral:rRNA from 1 species